rnacentral:rRNA from 1 species
UACGUAGGGGGCAAGCGUUGUCCGGAAUUAUUGGGCGUAAAGAGCUCGUAGGCGGCCUGUUGCGUCCGCUGUGAAAUCCCGGGGCUUAACCCCGGGCGUGCAGUGGAUACGGGCAGGCUGGAGGCAGGCAGGGGAGAACGGAAUUCCCGGUGUAGCGGUGAAAUGCGCAGAUAUCGGGAGGAACACCGGUGGCGAAGGCGGUUCUCUGGGCCUGUACUGACGCUGAGGAGCGAAAGCGUGGGGAGCGAACAGG